UUUGUUACUUCAAACCAAUCGGACUUCGGUCUGACAUCAAGUGAUAUUGAACAAUUUAGCUGAUCGCACGGUCUAAGAACCGGCGACAUAUCCUUCAAAUGUCUGCCUUAUCAACUUUCGAUGGUAGAUUAUGCGCCUACCAUGGUUGUAGCGGGUAACGGAGAAUCAGGGUUUGAUUCCGGAGAGGGAGCCUGAGAAACGGCUACCACAUCCAAGGAAGGCAGCAGGCACGCAAAUUACCCACUCCCGGCACGGGGAGGUAGUGACGAAAAAUAACAAGCUGGUCUCAAUGAGUUCCAGCAUUGUAAUGGGAACAAUUUAAAUCUUUUAUCGAGGAUCUAUUGGAGGGCAAGUCUGGUGCCAGCAGCCGCGGUAAUUCCAGCUCCAAUAGCGUAUAUUAAAGUUGUUGCGGUUAAAAAGCUCGUAGUUGGAUCUAGGAUUAGGGCUACGGUCGUUCAGCUUGGACGUACUGUAUGCCCGACUCCUUUUCUCUAGUAUUCGAUUGUUGCUCUUAAAUGAGUGACUUUAGUUGCUGGAACUUUUACCUUGAAAAAAUUGAAGUGCUCAAAGCAGGUU
rnacentral:rRNA from 1 species